rnacentral:rRNA from 1 species
GAUGAACGCUGGCGGCGUGCUUAAUACAUGCAAGUCGAGCGAACGGACGAGAAUCUUGCUUCCCUGAUGUUAGCGGCGGACGGGUGAGUAACACGUGGAUAACCUACCUAUAAGACUGGGAUAACUUCGGGAAACCGGAGCUAAUACCGGAUAAUAUUUUGAACCGCAUGGUUCAAAAGUGAAAGACGGUCUUGCUGUCACUUAUAGAUGGAUCCGCGCUGCAUUAGCUAGUUGGUAAGGUAACGGCUUACCAAGGCAACGAUGAAUAGCCGACCUGAGAGGGUGACCGGCCACACUGGGACUGAGACACGGUCCAGACUCCUACGGGAGGCAGCAGUGGGGAAUCUUCGGCAAUGGGGGAAAGCCUGACGGAGCAACGCCGCGUGAGGGAUGAAGGUCUUCGGAUCGUAAACCUCUGUUAUUAGGGAAGAACACAUGUGUACGUAAAUGUGGACAUCUUGACGGUACCUGAAGAGAAAGCCACGGCUAACUACGUG